UACAGAGGGUGCGAGCGUUGUCCGGAAUCACUGGGCGUAAAGGGCGCGUAGGUGGCGUCGCAAGUCGAUGGUGAAAGCUCGGCGCUCAACGCCGAGUCGGCCCUCGAGACUGCGAGGCUGGAGCACUGUAGAGGCAGAUGGAAUUCCGGGUGUAGCGGUGGAAUGCGUAGGAGUACGCGAAGAACACCGGUGGCGAAGGCGGUCUGCUGGGCAGUAGCUGACACUGAGGCGCGACAGCGUGGGGAGCAAACAGG
rnacentral:rRNA from 1 species